ensembl:lncRNA
AGAAAAUCCUCGUGCUCUUUAGUGUGGUGCGUUCUCAAAUGUCUGAUUAAGUUCGUCGUGUUGAAGGUCGCCACGCAGCUUCCGCCUCUCGGUACACCGGCUUUACAGACAUCGCAUCUUGCCGUCUUGCUUUUCGGAUUUCCCAGUGUGAUUGGCUGCAUAGAUGGCACCACAUCCCCAUCACAGCUGCCUCACAUAGUGAAGCUGAUUAUGUGAACAGGAAGUCCAUUCACAGCAUAAAUGUGCAGGCAAGAGGAAAAGGUGCAACAGAAAAUUGGACCUUCCAAGCGUGCUUGUGGAGAUGCAGGCCGAGAAGGAGCGGAACC